UACGUAGGGAGCAAGCGUUGUUCGGAUUUACUGGGCGUAAAGGGCGCGUAGGCGGCAAAUUAAGUCAGCUGUGAAAUCUCCGAGCUUAACUCGGAACGGUCAGCUGAUACUGAUCUGCUAGAGUGCGGAAGGGGCAAUCGGAAUUCUUGGUGUAGCGGUGAAAUGCGUAGAUAUCAAGAGGAACACCUGAGGUGAAGACGGGUCUCUGGGCCGAUACUGACGCUGAGGAGCGAAAGCGUGAGGAGCGAACAGG
rnacentral:rRNA from 1 species